rnacentral:misc_RNA from 1 species
UUGGCAUGCUGUCCUUUUUAUUGCCAUCAUGUGCCAUAGAGCAUUUUGGUGUUUUGCCUUGGGUUCCUGUGUUGCCUACCAUGGAAAUGGUAUUCGAUUAUCUUGGAAUAUUUGUUCCAUCCAGGUUCUCUUUGCGGGGAUGAUGGUGGAUUAGUGCAAUGCAUGUGUUCCACUUUAGUUUUGUCUUGUGAAACUACUGUGGUAUGUAAUGCAAUUGUUGUUCUUUUGGAUGCAGCGAGUGCAUGCAAUGAACGUGGCUUCGAUUGUCUCGUUUAGUUAUAAAUCUGUGGUUGCCUUAGAAUGACUUUUGCCUUGGUGCGUGCACCAUGAGCGCGGUCAUGAAUGGAUGCUA